AACGAACGCUGGCGGCAGGCCUAACACAUGCAAGUCGAGCGCCCCGCAAGGGGAGCGGCAGACGGGUGAGUAACGCGUGGGAAUCUACCCAUCCCUACGGAACAACUCAGGGAAACUUGAGCUAAUACCGUAUACGCCCUCCGGGGGAAAGAUUUAUCGGGGAUGGAUGAGCCCGCGUUGGAUUAGCUAGUUGGUGAGGUAAUGGCUCACCAAGGCGACGAUCCAUAGCUGGUCUGAGAGGAUGAUCAGCCACACUGGGACUGAGACACGGCCCAGACUCCUACGGGAGGCAGCAGUGGGGAAUAUUGGACAAUGGGCGAAAGCCUGAUCCAGCCAUGCCGCGUGAGUGAUGACGGCCCUAGGGUUGUAAAGCUCUUUCAACGGUGAAGAUAAUGACGGUAACCGUAGAAGAAGCCCCGGCUAACUUCGUGCCAGCAGCCGCCGUAAAAC
rnacentral:rRNA from 1 species